rnacentral:rRNA from 1 species
UACAGAGGGUGCGAGCGUUAAUCGGAAUUACUGGGCGUAAAGCGCACGUAGUCGGCUUUGCAAGUCGGGUGUGAAAUCCCCGGGCUCAACCUGGGAACUGCAUCCGAGACUGCAUUGCUAGAGUAUGGGAGAGGGAAGCGGAAUUUCUGGUGUAGCAGUGAAAUGCGUAGAUAUCAGAAGGAACAUCAGUGGCGAAGGCGGCUUCCUGGACCAACACUGACGCUGAGGAGCGAAAGCCAGGGGAGCAAACGGG